AAUAAGCCAAAAUGGCAUCUCCUUUUUUUCAGGGGUAUAGUUGUCGGUUGUCGGUCAGGACCGGAGGGUUUCUUUUACUCAGUACACUUUCAGUCCUUAUCAGCUUCUCGCUCAGUGCUGAGAGCUGACCUUCAGACAUUAUCUUUCCCCACUCUGUUCUCAUCAAAGGGAGAAAUGAUAAGAACUGACUGUGCAGUGAUAGAAACCUUCCACUGCGAGUCCCUCUCCAUGUGCUCGCCUCUCACAGCCCGCAGACUGGCCGGCUCUGUUCUGGGGACUCCCCCAGCAAGAGAUUUACUGCAUCACUGGUCAUCAUGGGAGUAAUGGGAGGAAGGGAGCGGGGAGGGCAUCAUUCAUAGCACCAGAUCAAAAAUGAGACACGACCUUGAGGUCAAACACACAGGGAGACAGACAAGGUUCAGCAGACUGAGUUCCUUCAAAAGCGACAUCAACAAAACAAAAGACAACAACAGAAGACAAUUAUUUAUUAAUACCUACUUAUCAGCUGCCGCAUACAUUCCUGCAGCAUCGACAUAACAUGGUGUUGGAGAAAAUUAAAUCACAACAGGUCAGAGAGAGGAGGAUAGAGUCUGUCCCAGUGUCUUCAACUGGCGGCCCAUGGGACACAUGUGGUCAGCAACCAGAGCCACUCGGUCCAGGGAUAAUGCCAGACUGAUUUUAUUGAUCGCUACUUUUAAUCACUUUUAAGAAGAUUGAAUUAAGUGAAAAGAUAUUUUCAUGUCGUACAUUACCGAUGAAACGAAAUUCAUCAAUGAUCUUGUAACAAUCUCACCAUGAGAAAAUUGUGCCAUGGAUGGCAGCCAGUGUUUAGCUCCUGUUCUUUGUGUCUUUCACCAAAACACAUGUUUUGUAUGCUUGCAUGCUUGGGUAAUAAAAACAGACUCUGAUAAGAAUAAAUCAGUUGGUGGAAUUUGCCCAGGAGUCAAGGAUGCAGAUGUUAAGAUUUCCUUGUUUUUUUUUACUUUAUCACUUUACGGAUUAAAGAUGGUUUGAUUAAUCGCUGAGUUCUUAAUUUCAUUCUUG